rnacentral:rRNA from 1 species
GACGAACGCUGGCGGCGCGCCUAACACAUGCAAGUCGAACGGAGUCAAGAGGAGCUUGCUUUUCUUGACUUAGUGGCGAACGGGUGAGUAACGCGUGAGUAACCUGCCCUGGAGUGGGGGACAACAGUUGGAAACGACUGCUACUACCGCAUAAGCCCACGGAUCCGCAUGGCUCUGCGGGAAACGGAUUUAUUCGCUUCAGGAUGGACUCGCGUCCAAUUAGCUAGUUGGUGAGGUAACGGCCCACCAAGGCGACGAUUGGUAGCCGGACUGAGAGGUUGAACGGACACAUUGGGACUGAGACACGGCCCAGACUCCUACGGGAGGCAGCAGUGGGGGAUAUUGCACAAUGGGGGAAACCCUGAUGGAGCGACGCCGGGUGGAGGAAGAAGGUUUUCGGAUUGUAAACUCCUGUAGUUAGGGACGAUAAUGACGGUACCUAACAAGAAAGCACCGGCUAACUACGUG